ACUUGAUCUCAAAUCAGAUAAGAGUACCCGCUGAACUUAAGCAUAUCAAUAAGCGGAGGAAAAGAAACUAACAAGGAUUCCCUUAGUAACGGCGAGUGAAGCGGGAAGAGCUCAAAUUUGAAAUCUUCAAGGUUCUACCUUGACGAAUUGUAGUUUAAAGAAGUGUUUUCUGUUAGAUGAGUAGCAAAAGUUCCUUGGAAUGGGACAUCAUAGAGGGUGAGAAUCCCGUAUUUGGUUAUUUAUUCUAGCUUUGUGAUACACUUUCAAAGAGUCGGAUUGUUUGGGAAUGCAGUCCAAAAUGGGUGGUAAAUUUCAUCUAAAGCUAAAUAUUGGCGAGAGACCGAUAGCGAACAAGUACCGUGAGGGAAAGAUGAAAAGAACUUUGAAAAGAGAGUUAAACAGUACGUGAAAUUGUCAAAAGGGAAGCGUUUGACACCAGUGUUGUUUUUCCGAAAAUCAAUUACGAAUGGCUUGAUUUUGUGUUGUAUUGACCUUAUCAGCUUUCUUCACUUUUUUCGAGUCUUUCUUAAUGCACUUUUCGGUUAACAAGUCAACAUCAAUUUCUUUUGUUGUAAAAGAGUAUUCGGAAGGUGGCUUUCUUUUCGGAGAAAGUGUUUAUAGCCCUAUACUUCUACAAUCGGAGAGAUUGAGGUCUGCAGCGUAGAUCCUUCGGGGUUAGAUACAUUUGUGCUAAGUUGUAGCUUUUCAUAGACAACUUGUUGACUAUGUUUAGUCAUGCGGCUUACUCGCUUAUGCUAUUUUACCUACGCUUAGGAUGUUGACAAAAUGGUUUUAAACGACCCGUCUUGAAACACGGACC
rnacentral:rRNA from 1 species